rnacentral:rRNA from 1 species
GUUGUUUAGUUGAAAAUCAAUUAAAUAAUUUUUGAUUUUGAGUAGUAUUGACUUCAUCAGCUUGCUGCUCUCUUUUCGGAAAUUAUUUAAUGCACUUUUCAGUUAACAAGUCAACAUCAAUUUCUUUUGUUGUAAAAAGGUAAGAGGAAGGUGGCUUACAUUUCGGUGUAAGUGUUUAUAGCCUUUUACCUCUGCAAUCGGAGAGAUUGAGGUCAGCAGCGUAGACUCUUCGGGGUUAGAUACGCUUGUGCUAAGCUAUAGCCUUGUAUAGACAACUUGUUGACUAUACUCAGUCAUGUAGCUUACUCGCUUGCAGUAUUUUACCUAC